rnacentral:rRNA from 1 species
UACGUAGGGCGCAAGCGUUGUCCGGAAUUAUUGGGCGUAAAGAGCUCGUAGGUGGCGUGUCGCGUCUGCCGUGAAAGCCCAUGGCUUAACUGUGGGUCUGCGGUGGAUACGGGCAGGCUGGAGGCUGGUAGGGGCAAGCGGAAUUCCUGGUGUAGCGGUGAAAUGCGCAGAUAUCAGGAGGAACACCGGUGGCGAAGGCGGCUUGCUGGGCCAGUUCUGACGGCUGAGGAGCGAAAGGCGUGGGGAGCGAACAGG